rnacentral:misc_RNA from 1 species
CCAAUAGCGUAUAUUAAAGUUGUUGCAGUUAAAAAGCUCGUAGUUGAAUUUCGGGAUUGACGUGACGGUCAUGCCUUAAGGGGUAUGAACUGUUGCUGUUGAUUUCUCACCUUCUGGAGAAACUUGAUGUCCUUUAUUGGGUGUCUUGCGGAUCCAGGACCUUUACCUUGAAAAAAUUAGAGUGUUUAAAGCAGGCAUUUUUGCUCGAAUACAUUAGCAUGGACUAAUAGAAUAGGACGGCAUGGUUCUAUUUUGUUGGUUUCUAGGAUCACCGUAAUGAUUAAUAGGGAUAGUUGGGGGCAUUAGUAUUCAAUUGUCAGAGGUGAAAUUCUUGGAUUUAUUGAAGACUAACUACUGCGAAAGCAUUUGCCAAGGAUGUUUUCAUUAAUCAAGAACGAAAGUUAGGGGAUCGAAGACGAUCAGAUACCGUCGUAGUCUUAACCAUAAACUAUGCCGACUAGGGAUCGGAUGAUGUUAAUUUUAUAAUGACUCAUUCGGCGCCUUACG